UGGGGCUACGCUGGCCAGACGCCUCUCUUUCAUUGGGACACCCUACUGGAUGGCUCCGGAAGUGGCAGCUGUGGCCCUGAAGGGAGGAUACAAUGAGCUGUGUGACAUCUGGUCCCUGGGCAUCACGGCCAUCGAACUGGCCGAGCUACAGCCACCACUCUUUGAUGUGCACCCUCUCAGCAUCAACUGGUAUCCCAGCCUGGGCUGAAUCGAGGCCUGAUCCUGGAUCUUCUUGACAAACUGAAGAAUCCCGGGAAAGGACCCUCCAUUGGGGACAUUGAGGAUGAGGAGCCCGAGCUACCCCCUGCUAUCCCUCGGCGGAUCAGAUCCACCCACCGCUCCAGCUCUCUGGGGAUCCCAGAUGCAGACUGCUGUCGGCGGCACAUGGAGUUCAGGAAGCUCCGAGGAAUGGAGACCAGACCCCCAGCCAACACCGUGAGAUGCUGUCCCCCCAAUCCCCACCACACCGCCUGCUUCCCUGAGGCCACUGCUGACCCUUUUCCUACCCCACAGGCUCGCCUACAGCCUCCUCGAGACCUCAGGAGCAGCAGCCCCAGGUCAGGGACCCCAGGGAGGAUGGGGAGGGGGCUGGAAUGUGGACAAGGCCCCCAAGGCUCAUACCUGUCACCCUUCAGGAAGCAACUGUCAGAGUCGUCCGACGAUGACUAUGAUGACGUGGACAUCCCCACCCCUGCAGAGGACACACCUCCUCC
rnacentral:sRNA from 1 species